AUUUUAGACAGGCGUGAGCAGGGAGGUUCUGUCCCUAUCGCUGAUGCUGGAGGUGGACACGGGAAUGCAAGGGGAAGGAUAGGGGCAAGGAGAAGUGAAGAGGAGGAGGAGGAGGAAGAAGAGGAAGAGGAGGAGGAGGAGGAAGAUGUCACCACUGGAACUCACGCCCCUUAUGCCCUCCACCACAACCUGCUGGCCACCUCCCGUGCCCAAGAGGCCAGGGAGGGCAUCUCAGGUGUUCCGCAGAGCCUCUCAUUCCCGCAGUACCUGGGUCAACCGGGAGACAGGGAGGCACAUUCCAACGGCGUCACAAACCCCAUCUAUGGCCGCAUCGGAGACCUGCGAUUCCAGACGGGGUCCUGGGGGUCGCAUGAGCCCACACCAGGUAUAGAGCAGCCUCCUGACCAGAUCGGCUCCCUCUUGGGUGUGACGGGGCUACUAGACAGCAGUCCCACCAUUCCCCUCAUGCACUUGGACCCCAUGAACGAGGAACGGCCACAGUCUCAGCCCCCGGAGGAGCACCAUUGGGCCUCCCUUGCCUCUAAUCAUCCCCUGCAUCAACAAACAACUGAUCUGCUGAACAACCAGGUUCCCCCAGGAACACGUGCCAAUAACUAUUGGGACAAUUUCCGAAGCUAUUCUCGUCAGAAUCUCCUUUCCACGGCCACUAAAAGCAACACUAGUGAACAUCCUGUUUCUACUGCUUGUGAUGCAAGGACCACAACCACAGGUGCUCUCGCCCAUCAGCAGACUGGAGACAAUAGCAGGAUGGAAGACAAGAGGUUUAAUGUAGCUGUCGGCCACAACAACAACACGAGCAGCAACAGUGGACCACGAUCUAGGAUGAGUAAUCCUCGCAUUAACAAUUCCAGAGGUGCCAAUCCGCGGGUCAGAAACCCCGUCUCCUCAAACAGACAACACAUCCAUGGACAAAAUAAGCACAAGACAAAUAACCGUAACAAACAAGGAGGAUGGUGGUCACAUGAGACCAACAUCCCAAGGGUAUCGGGAUCUUCAGCAGCAAGAGAACAAGCCUCUGUCAACUACAACUCCUCACGUGGCAAUGGAAGUGACAGUGAAGGUGCAGGAGUUGUAGCAGUUGAGGUUCUGAGGGAAGCAAAAGCACUGAUGCGAAAGCAUGCCAAUCAUCCAGAGUUCCUCCUACAGCUGUUCCGUCAUGCAUCACAGAUCACAGUUAACACAGACCAACAUGUGGCUGUUGCACUAUUGCAGGAUCUGGCAACACAACCUCAUGGCUCAAAUCAUGGGAUGAACAGCAGCAACAGGGGGAUCAACAACGAGAACAGCAACUUCUCACUGCCUGCUCCUCUUCGUGAUUCCUCUUGGCGAUGCCACUCUACUUUGCAGGCAGAUCGGCAUAACAUACAUCCACAGGAUGUCCUUCAUAUUCCACAGGAGAACAUCAGUGCAGCAGGCCUGUCGGGAUCAGAAGUCAGUGACAGUGGACUCACUUCUGAAGAUGAAGAUAGCAGGGCAUUGUACCGAAACGUGAAGAACCUUAGCCUGAGCCCCGGGGGACGUCCAGGGGCCACAGGAGCCAUUCCUCGCACGACCCCAGACAUCAACACCAGCCACCCUCGCCCCCCAGCCCCCCAGCCGCAUCGUUACCAGCCAGGGGGGGUCAUCUCUCAGCCCCACUUGCAAUACCCACCCCAAGCCCCGCACCAUAACUACCCCUAUUUCCAGCAACACCACAACCUCUCCAGCAAUCGGGAGAGCAGCCGAGGGACGGCGCACUCCGAGAGCACCCUGUACGACCACCUUCCCUACAGUGACUCCCAAAUGAGCAGCUCGCACCCCCAAGAGGUGGAGGAGGAAUGGCUGAGACAUGCUCUGGAGAGUGAAGAAGUUGGACAGAAAAGCCAGAAGCCGCUGGACACAGCCGGUUCUUCCCCAGAACACCCCCAUCAUGCCAUACAUACACUGAGCAACGACACCGAGUACUUGACGUUCGAGACCCUUGUGUCGUCUGCUGUCAAGGCAAGUGUCGAGGUCCUGCAGAGUCAUGUGGGGGGAGCUAUGACUCCUGGAGGGUCCGUGUCUCCACUGCUUCUCACCACACUCCACCACACUCUCAUUGCACAGUAAACCCUUCCCUUGAACUGAAGUCUCACUUAGGGCUGGGAUGUCCACAUCACUCUAACAUAUAGUGCCUUUACUCACACUACACUCAUUCUCAUCAUCACUUCCAGAUCCAGAAUCAAGCUCAGUCCCUCCAGUUGCCACAAAGCUUCCUUUUCUCUGUGUACAAUGAACUCAAGGAGGCUCUGCAGGUGUUCUCCGGAAAA
rnacentral:misc_RNA from 1 species